UACAGAGGUCCCAAGCGUUGUUCGGAUUCAUUGGGCGUAAAGGGUGCGUAGGCGGCGGGGCAAGUCUGAUGUGAAAUCCCGGGGCUCAACCCCGGAACUGCAUUGGAUACUGCCUUGCUUGAGUACUGGAGAGGGAACUGGAAUUUACGGUGUAGCAGUGAAAUGCGUAGAGAUCGUAAGGAAGGCCAGUGGCGAAGGCGAGUUCCUGGACAGUGACUGACGCUGAGGCACGAAGGCCAGGGGAGCAAACGGG
rnacentral:rRNA from 1 species